rnacentral:rRNA from 1 species
UACAGAGGGUGCAAGCGUUGUUCGGAAUUACUGGGCGUAAAGCGUGCGUAGACGGUUAUGUAAGUCAGAUGUGAAAGCCCAGGGCUCAACCUUGGAAUUGCAUUUGAGACUGCAUAGCUAGGGUGCGGAAGAGGGAAGCGGAAUUUCCGGUGUAGCGGUGAAAUGCGUAGAUAUCGGAAGGAACACCAGUGGCGAAAGCGGCUUCCUGGUCCAGCACCGACGUUCAGGCACGAAAGCGUGGGGAGCAAACAGG